AACUGGAUUAAGACUGCCCUUGCUUGCCUCUCUUUGUUAUAUGUGUUUGCAAGACGAAGCUUCUAGCUGCACUGUGAAAAUAAGAAACUAUUUGGGAUGAGAGAACAAAGGGUUUAAGGAAAACAUGUGGAGAAAUUAUCUAAUAGUUGAAGCAAGUUAACAAAGCAAUUAAAAUUGCCAACAAAGUGUUAGGGUUUAUUUCUGAGAGCAAUAGAGUUCAAAAUUAAUAAACACAAGUCAAAAUAGUGAAGGUUUCUACAACCUUAUGAACCAGUUUGUUUUAAAAUUUAUAUUUUAAUUUCUGAAUUGAAUUAUCUUAAAAUUAUUAAAGCAUUAUUACCCCUGUCAUUUUUAGCCUAUGCACUAGGGUGGGUGAGUUACAUUAAAGUACUUCAAGACUUUGCCUCCAUAUUAAUGAAGUACUUGAGAAAGUGUGAAGAAACACUUAUAAGGAUGCAACCAAGACCAAGAGUGUUAUAGACUUUGGGAGAGAUUGAAUAAAUUAAUGCUUUAUCUUUAGCAUAAAGGGACUGUGAAAGAGACCUGAUGGUGUUCUGUGAACUUAUGUGUGUAGUAGACAGAUGAAAAUGGCAAGUUUCUUUGUAUAGAGGAGUCUAGGUCUAGUGGCCAUCAACACCAGGUAGUUAAAAAAUACAAUUGGCUAAUAGGAGAAAUUGCUUUCCUGAAUAUUUUAGAAUGUCCAAAUUGGUUAGCCCAGAAAGUGACUGAAACAAAUAGAUUAGAAGACUUAUAGAAGAGACAGGAUAAUUACAUUAAGAAAAAAGGAAUAGAAAUUUAUUCCGAAUGACUGAGAUAAAGCAGACGGAAUAUUAGAGACCUGUGUGGAGAUACAUCACCAAUACUGACCAGGUGGGAUGAAUGGUCUGUUGCUAGUCUACACAACAGAUGACUUUCACAGUUAACAAGGAAAAUUAUAUUUAAACUACAAAUCUCAGUUAAAGAUGAUCUGACUUCAAAUGUCCCAGAUGGCAUAACUUCCAAACUACCUCAAGAUCUCCUGAUGGUCUAACUUGAAAACUAGUCUCAUUGAUUUGUUCAGCUCUUUAGACUGAGUAAGUAUUGAGCUGAGAACAACAUGCAAGUGAGACCAGUCUGUCUCUACUCCCUCAGUUGCUUUCUUUUGUUUUAUAAUGCAACCAGAUUUCAUUUGUUCCUGGUUAUAGUUGCGAGUCAUGGGGCUGGCUCCUGUACGUUGCUUCCAAUAAUUCAUCCUGUAGCAAAACAGACAACACAGAGCACUCCACAGGUCCAAAUUCACCAUUAUCAAUGAUUUGUGGCUCUUAACAAACUUGGAAUCAACAUCUCUAUUUAUCUGCAGCUGAUCUCUUGGGAUCAGGCUGGCAUUGUGGGCAAGCUACAUUGGGCAGUAUAACAGGAUAGUUCCAAAUCAGAGGAAGCUAAGGAGAAAGGGAGGAUAAAGAGCUACAAUUUCCAGUGGUGUACAGUCGUAUAGAUUAUGUACUCUGGGUCAGAUCAGGAUUGAGUUUAACCAUAAUGAUCCUAAACCCUUCAGGUCUCAUGAAAGAUAAAAAGUCUCUUAGGUGAUGUACCACAGGGGUUAUUAAAACUUGUGCCGUAAAACAACACAUUUCACAACCUGUAUCAGCCUGAUUCUGAUUCCUCUUCACUUUUCCUUCAGAAUAGCCAUCUCUCAUUCAUAGUGUCAUCACAGCACAUGAGUCCUCUAGCCCAAAUGGUCAGUGUACGCUUUUGAUGCAGCAGUCAGUCUGGUUUAUCUAUUCCCUCUGCCCUUAUAGCUCAGUUUAUUUCCCUAUCCCAUUUCCUUUUGAAAGUGUUGAUCAUCUCCAUUUCCACUAUUCUCACUGGCUAUCCAAAAUGCCUAUGCUUCUAACACCUCACCUUCUCAAAGCCUAUUGGAAAUAUAUGUUGUCCCUAUCCACAUGGAUUGUGUUGUGCCAAGAAAGCCACACAGAUCAGGAGAUCCCAACUGGUGUUUGGACAAUGCCUGAGCCGUGCGUUAGGAAGAGUGAACAACAAACUGAACAGGUGUUGGUCUUGGUUGUGAAUGAUGGGCCAUAGGUUCAAGUUCCACUAAAAAGACACAAGGUUACUACUCAAGUUGACAUUCUAUGAGGAAAUACUAUCAGAGAUGCUGUACUUGAGGUGCUAAACUGAAUUCCUCAACUGCUCUAUCUGAAUGGGGGAAAACAAUCCUCUAGUACAGCUUUGAAGAGAGGGAGGUUGUCCUUAGUGUCCCAGCUCAAUACUUAUUGUUCAGCUAAAGUUCCUCAUGUACAGUGCUUUUGAUGAGGCAUUGUUUUGCACAAACUGACUAGUGUGUUUCUUGCAACUCAGCAGCGAUACACAUCAAAGUGUUUCAUUGGCUGUAAUAUGUCAAUGUGGUUGUGAAAGUUGUCAUAUAAAUCCAAUUAUUUCUUUUUGUUUUAUAUGUUACAAAACAGUUUACAGGCCUGUUGAUGAAUACUCAGAUCUAUAUGCAAAGGAUUAUUAAAAUUUGUUACAAAUUAUUUAUCUUAACAGUUUUUUAAAAGAAUUGGAAUCAGCCCCCUUCACCUCAUUGACUUCUGAAUCAUUUAACUUAAAGAGCUAAUUGCUAAUCAUCUGAAUUGACAUCAAUUGACUGAUCAGAGUGGGGAGGAGGGACUGUACAAAAAAGAUUUCUAUCUGAUUUCGAAGUGAUGCAAUGAUGCAAAAUUAGAAAAUGCAGAAAAGUCAUCACCCACCUUCAAAUAGUUCUCAAUCUGUUCAGCUUAAAUUGAAUAAAAUUCCUAUCUUAUUCGAACAAAUUAAAGUAACUGCCAAAAAGUGUGGAUCAGGUAUGUCUAAUAUUAACUUACAUAAGAGGAUACGUUGAAGCCAAUGAUUUAGUUCCCAUUGCUAUCACCACCAUUGGCAGUCAUUGGCUGCCUAACAAUCCAUUCUCCUGGCAAAUACCUUUUCAAAGCCAAUCAAAGAAUAGUCGUAUUCUCUCUCAAUAUUUUUGUGCUAGUAAACCACACUAAAGCCAGGACCGUUAGAAUUAUGUGAGUAUUUGGAUGACGUCUAGAUCAUGCAUCACAUAAAACAGGCCAUUCUACUCAAGUAGACUAUGCUGGUGUUUUGGUCACAUCGCUCAUCCCAUCUUGUUCUUUUCUAUCCUAUCAGCUUGCUUUAGAAAGGAUGUAAAUUUGAUACAGAUUUAGAGGUUACAAAUGAUGAUGAAAAAACUUCAAUAAUGAGCAGAGAUUUGUGAAGUUAGAACCAUUCCCCUUUGUUAAGAGGUGACAGUAGAACAUCUCAAGACAUUGAGAAGUUUCAGUGGAUAGAUGUUCUCUUAGGGGAGUGGAGAUGAAAAGAAAUGAUUUUACAUGACAAGCUGUUAAGAUUUAGAAUGUUCCAGUUGAAAAGUUGGUAAAGCUGACUAUAAUUGUCUAAAAUAGGGCUGGUUGUCUAAAAUAGAGCUGGACUGGAUUAGAGUAUUACAGACAAAACAUAGGGGAAUGGUACAAAACAUAACAGCUCCAUCAGAGCUGACAAUGAUGGGCUGAGUGGCCACUUGUACUGUUGGUUUCUUAAUCUCUGAUACAUUUUAUUCCCCUUUAGUUCUCAUGUACGCAUUUAUCCAGUUUCCUCCUAAAUGCAGUAAUGCUAUUCACCUCCAUCUGUUCCUGUGGCAUCUACAUAUAGAUUGGGUGAACCAAAUUGGUAAGGGUGCUGAGGAAGAGGAUUUCUUGGAAUAUAUGCGGGAUGGUUUUCUGAACCAACAUGUCGAGGAACCAACAAGAGAGCAGGCCAUUCUAGAUUGGGUAUUGAGCAAUGAGGAAGGGUUAGUUAGCAAUCUUGUUGUGCAAGCCCCUUGGGUAAGAGUGACCAUAAUAUGGUGGAAUUCUUCAUUAAGAUGGAGAGUGACAUAGUUAAUUCAGAAACAAAGGUUCUGAACUUAAACAAGGGUAACUUUGAAGGUAUGAGACGUGAAUUAGCUAAGAUAGACUGGCAAAUGAUACUUAAAGGGUUGACAGUGGAUAUGCAAUGGCAAGCACUUAAAGAUCACAUGGAUGAACUACAACAAUUGUUCAUCCCAGUUUGGCAAAAGAAUAAACCAGGGAAGGUAGGGAAAUUAGGGAUAGUAUCAAGUCCAAAGAAGAAACAUAUAAAUUAGCAAAAAAAUGCGGCACACCUGAGGACUGGGAGAAAUUCAGAGACCAGCAGAGGAGGACAAAGGGCUUAAUUAGGAAAGGGAAAAAAAUUAUGAGAGAAAGCUGGCAGGGAAUGUAAAAACUGACUGUAAUAGCUUUUAUAGAUAUGUAAAAAGAAAAACGAUUGGUCAAGACAAAUGUAGGUCCUUUACAGUCAGAAACAGGUGAAUUGAUCAUAGGGAACAAAGACAUGGCAGACCAAUUGAAUAACUACUUUGGUUCUGUCUUCACUAAGGAGGACAUAAAUAAUCUUCCGGAAAUAGUAAGGAACCGAGGGUCUAGUGAGAUGGAGGAAUUGAGGGAAAUACAUGUUAGUAGGGAAGUGGUGUUAGGUAAAUUGAAGGGAUUAAAGGCAGAUAAAUUCCCAGGGCCAGAUGGUCUGCAUCCCAGAGUGCUUAAGCCCAAGAAAUAGUGGAUGCAUUAGUGAUAAUUUUUCAAAACUCCUUAGAUCCUGGAUUAGUUCCUGAGGAUUGGAGGGUGGCUAAUGUAACCCCACUUUUUAAAAAAAGGUGGGAGAGAGAAACCGGGGAAUUAUAGACCGGUGAGUCUGACAUCGGUGGUGGGGAAAAUGCUAGAGUCGGUUAUCAAAGAUGUGAUAACAGCACAUUUGUAAAGAGGUGAAAUCAUCAGACAAAGUCAGCAUGGAUUUGUGAAAGGAAAAUCAUGUCUGAUGAAUCUUAUAGAAUUUUUUGAAGAUGUAACUAGUAGAGUGGAUAGGGGAGAGCCAGUGGAUGUGGUAUAUUUAGAUUUUCAAAAGGCUUUUGACAAAGUCCCACACAGGAGAUUAGUGUGCAAACUUAAAGCACACGGUACUGGGGGUAUGGUAUUGAUAUGGAUAGAGAAUUGGUUGGCAGACAGGAAGCAAAGAGUGGGAGUAAAUGGGACCUUUUCAGAACGGCAGGCAGUGACUAGUGGGGUACCGCAAGGCUCAGUGCUGGGACCCCAGUUGUUUACAAUAUAUAUUAAUGAUUUAAAUCCAGCAUCUCCAAGUUUGCGAAUGACACAAAGCUGGGCGGCGGUAUUAGCUGUGAGGAGGAUGCUAAGAGAAUGCAGGGUGACUUGGAUAGGUUAGGUGAGUGGGCAAAUUCAUGGCAGAUGCAAUUUAAUGUGGAUAAAUGUGAGGUUAUCCACUUUGGUUGCAAGAACAGGAAAACAUAUUAUUAUCUGAACAUUGGCUGAUUAGGAAAAGGGGAGGUGCAACGAGACCUGGGUGUCAUUGUACACCAGUCAUUGAAGGUGGGCAUGCAGGUACAGCAGGUGGUGAAAAAGGCAAAUGGUAUGUUGGCAUUCAUAGCAAAAGGAUUUGAGUACAGGAGCAGGGAGGUUCUAUUGCAGUUGUACAACCAUUGGUGAGACCGCACCUAGAGUAUUGUGUGCAGUUUUGGUCCCCUAAUCUGAGGAAAGACAUUCUUGCCAUAGAGGGAGUACAGAGAAGGUUCACCAGAUUGAUUCCUGGGAUGGCAGGACUUUCAUAUGAAGAAAGACUGGAUCGACUAGGCUUAUACUCACUGGAACUUAGAAGAUUGAGGGGGGAUCUUAUUGAAACAUAUAAAAUUCUAAAGGGAUUGGACAGGCUAGAUGCAGGAAGAUUGUUUCCGAUAUUGGGGAAGUCCAGAACGAGGGGUCACAGUUUAAGGAUAAAGGGGAAGCCUUUUAGGAGCGACAUGAGGAAAAACUUCUUCACACAGAGAGUGGUGAAUCUGUGGAAUUCUCUGCCACAGAAACAGUUGAGGCCGUUCAUUGGCUAUAUUUAAGAGGAAGUUAGAUAUGGCCCUUGUGGCUAAAGGGAUCAGGGGGUAUGGAGAGAAAGCAGGUAUAGGGUUCUGAGUUGGAUGAUCAGCCAUAUUGAAUGGCGAUGCAGGCUUGAAGGGCUGAAUGGCCUACUCCUGCACCUAUUUUCUAUGUUUCUAUGAGUGAAUUCUGCAUUCUAUAUUCAAAAUUCUGUGUUCUGCAUUCAACCCAAGUCAUGUUCGCUACAGAGUAGAACUGCGAUGAUGGCAAUCUCAACUAAAUGUAGCAUCUUAUCUUCUAAAUGCUCUCAGGACUCAGCAUUGAGUAAAACUUGUCCUCUAUCCUAGCACAGGCAUUCCAUUUGAUAUCUCAAUUAUGUUUCUUUAUAUCUUAAAAAUGUUAAAUUUAUAACUUUUCCUGUUGCUCAUGUAACCUUCACUAUUUCUCUUUCCAUGCUUCUUAACCUCCUGAGUCCUAUGUUAUAAAUUGCAAGAAAAAUUGUACAGAGAUCUAGUUUCUUGAUAAUGCUGCAGGAGUUCAAAUUGCUCAGUAUUGACACUUGACGACAAAAAUGUGUCCCUGGUCUCUCUGGGACUUGAUUACACUUGCCUUCCAUUAGAAUUGUUGUAUCAUUUACCCAAUGCACAUCUUCUUUGCAUGGAAUUUCCCAAAGUAUAGCCAUCUACAUUGAAGAAAAGUCUAAGAUAAUUUCCAGUACAGCACCGAAUACAGAGCCUGCUGCAAGCAGUGAUCUGUCUACUCUGGUUCUAAUUCCCUUUCUGGAAUCAGGAUUGCUUUCAUUAAGAAAUUGUGGGAAAAAGUAGUAUCUGUUGACAAUUUUGGUUAGAUGUCACAUAACCUCUCAUUUUCCUGCCUUCACAUUUUCUCUAUUGGCUCAUUCUUGUGGCACCCCAUCUUCCCAAGGCCAAUCAUAAAACAAUCCUUUCCCAAUUCCAAUUAAUUUUUUCCCUCUUAAUCUCCCCCAUAACUAAUAAAUAAUUUCUUUCAUCAAAAUGAUUAUCCAUUCUUUUGGCCCAAUGACCUUCCACUCCGCCCACCACCACUCCCCAUGUAUCAAAUCUGGAGGGGUAGCAAAAAUGUUAUGGAUAUGAGUAUUCACUAUGUAGUUCUGUGCUCCCAAUUGCCACCUGCUGGUUUAAAGCAGUAAGUACCUUCUGAUCAAGGUAACAAGGAUGUGAGUCCACCUCAUUUAUCUGUUGUAUUGCUUCUUGCCUAAUAGAUUAGGAAGGGGGUGGCAUAGGAAGCAGCUGAUAUCCUCAGGUCAAAGCUUCCAAACACUUGGAUGAUAUCAGCCUCUUCUAUUCAGAUCCACUGUUGGUCUGCAGACUGAGGAGCAUCUGCAAACUGGUGUGAACUGACCUCUGGGGUGAGAGAGGAAUUCAGCAAAUGCAAGGUCUUUGGUUUGAAUGGCCAUUUAUUCUCUUCACCAUCAGGUCCAUUUACCUGCAAAUGCCGGGAACAUGGUUUGCAGGAGCCAGGAUGGACACCAAAGAUCUGGAUAGAGCCGACAAAUUAAGGUGAAAUGGCAAUUGGAAUUUUGGGAGCACCACUUCUUUCAGCUGUGGGGUUAAGUCGGAGUGCUCUCAGUGAAGAUGUGUGUGUUGUAUGUGGGGGCCUUACUUGGCUCCUGCACUGCUGGAGGAAAUUUGUUCAUGUCUCCACGCUCCCAUGAACAUUACCUCAUAAAUUUUGCAUUUUUGUACAACUUUUUAAUUUUUAAAGUAUAUUUCUUAUCGUAAUUUAUAGUAUAUUCUGUAUUGGACUGCACUGCCACAAAACUACAAAUUUCACGACAUAGGUGGUAAUAAAUCUGAUACUGAUCAAAUGCAGUUAUGUUUUGUGAGGUGACAUCAAGCACGUGCAGACACCAAGAGUCGUCACGUGCUCAUGUUCUACCUGCCCUUAUUGUUGAUGAAAAUGGACCUGGCCACAGUGUAGUGAGAUGUUUCUUUCAGUUGAAUUAUGAAAGUAUAAUUGUAAAUCUUGCAAAGAAAUGGAAUGAUAUGUCUACUGUUGUAAAUGUUGACAUAUGACUAUAUAGCAUUUUGCAAACUGUAUAAAUCUAGGUUUAAAACACAAGAAGAAUAUGUAUGGAAAGAGAACAACUGUAGAUGCUAGACACAAAUCACUGGAGGGACUCGGAGGGUCUUGAUUUGAAACAAUUGUCUGUCCAUUACUCUCCAAAGAUACUUCCUUACCAGCUGAAUUCCUCCAGCUUUUUCUCUUGCAUAACAAUGUGUGUCCCUGCUAAGCCGGAGUCACUGAGUUUGCACUAUUUCUUUCUCAUACAACCAUGAAUAAUGCAACAGGGACCCUUUGGUUUGCAAUGAUAGACAGGUUCUACACCUGAAUCCUUUCCUUGUAAAACUGUUUCAGUGACCUUAGCAAGCCUCAGCACAUGGCCUUCAACUGAACUUGUCUACAUUUGGUUGCAGGUGGCUUAUUGCCAUGGAAGACCAGUUUUGGUGGAAACCCCCAUUUUCAGUAGAGGAUCACUGACGAAAGUGAGAGAAAAGAAGAAUGUAAAAGUCAGAAGAUAAUCAAGUGCUUGUUUUAAAAGCCUAAAGGUUUGAAAAAGAAAGAGAUCCAGCAGGACAUAAAAAGUCUUAAUAGAUUUGUCAGCCAUCUGAUUUCAAGACCAAGUAACUCCUGAGCAGAACCUUGAUGGGGUGGUGAUCAAACCAAUCUGUGAGCCAGGAGUUGGGUGAACUUAAAAUACAGAAAAUUAUAUGGACACUGAUCUAGUACUGCCUUCUGUGAACUUUAAUGGCUGCAGAUCUAUGAAACUUCACUUUGUGGGACUAUUUGAUCAACACAAAUUCAAUCAGAUUUUUUGUUCACUCCUGGGAUAUAUUAACACUGCACUACUAUUAUCCAUCCCUAAGCUACUUCAGAGGAUCAUUUAUACAAUCAUAGAAUUAUACAGCAUGGAAAGGGACCAUUUGGCUCAAUUCAUCUAUGCCAACCAGUGGAUGCUCUUCUUAGGAUGUUACUUUAUUGAUCUACAAUUUCUGGCAAUUUACUUGGUCUCCAGGGAUUUCAACCAAACUUGGGCUGGUGAGUGCAUAAACUCAAAUCUUGAUGGCUGUAAGAUCCAAUCGUUAUUCACGCGCCCGGCAGAGGGCACCAUAUGUAGGCUAAUACAGCACGUGACCCUGUCGACUCCCUGAAGAUGCUCCCAAGGCAGCUAAGGAUCAAUUCGAUGUUGGUGCGAACCUGAUAUGCUGUCUAUCAGCCUUAGUUCCAUUUGUUCAGGAACAUUAGUGAAUCAGUUGUUUUUUUUUCUAACAAUACAUCAACUUUGUAGUCACUUUGUAGUUCCCAGCGGAACAUUGUUUUGUUUAGCUGUAUACAUGUGUAAAAUUGAUCGACAAUAAACUUGAACUUGAUUGUUUACUGACACCAGCUACUUAUUCUAAGAGCUCUUUUUAAUGAAUUCAAAUUAUAGAACAACCAUGAUGAAAUUCAAAUUUACUUUGUGGAAAUACAAAAAUACAAUCAAAAAAUGCUGCAAAUACAUGGAAGGUUGAACCACAUCUGUAGAGAGGACUGCUGUGUGUUUCCAGCAUUUUACUUUUUUAAACUCACGUCCUCUGGAUGAUGGGUAUGUAAUCAUUAACCUCAAGUACUAGGUAAAGUAUGCUUCAUUUCAUCUCCUAGGUAGGGAGGAAAACCUAUUAACAGGAUUGCUGCUUUUUCAGCACUUUGUAGUGGACAGCUGGCAAGUGUUCUCAAUGAGUUCUGAACCUUUAGCAAACAGAGUGAGGCAAUUUCCUUCCAAUAACAACCUACUCCCCACCCCCCCCCCCCCCAUUCUCCCAUCCAACUCUCAGACUCCUAUCCAAUUCUUUCACCUGAGCACACCAUAAACUCAUUUGGCUCUCCGAGAAUAUUAUACUGCUCCCUAAACACAUGAGAUUCUGCAAAUGCUGGAAAUCUAGAGCAAAACACACAAAAUGCUGAAGGAAGUAGGCAGGUCAGGCAAUAAGUAUAAGUAUCUCUAUGGAGAGCAAUAAGCAGUUGCCGUCUUGGACUGAGACCCUUCAUCAGGACUGGAAAAGAAGGGGACAGAAGCUGGAAUAAAAUGGUAUGGGGGGCAGGAAGGAGGAGAAGUACAAGCUGACAGGUGAUAUCACACCAUUUCUGAGCUCCUGCACAGCCCUGAUUUGUUGAGCCCUGCUGGCUCACAGCUGCCCAGGUGCUGAACUUUAGAACUCCUUCCUUAACCACCUCCAUUUCUCUGUAUGGGUCCCUUCCAUUAAAUCAUGGUUUUAACUUAUUUCUCACCCUCUCUUUACAGCUGUUAAUACUUCUUUAAUCCUGCAUUGUUUCACUUAUUUGUAAAGGCACUAUAGAAAUGUAAGUUGUUCUUGCUAGGGUUCAGAAAGCUGGAACCCUACCCCAUCUCUUGGGAUGUAAACUGAUCCCACAUAGUUCAAUCUAAUCAAAUCCGCAAAUCCAUUCUAACACAGCCAAAGGCCAAUGCUUAGAUUGUUUGUUGAGGGCACCACUGUACCAAGGCGUUUCAGAGUUUGGAGUUCAAUUCCAGCACCGUCUGUAAGGAGUCUGUACGUUCUCCCCAUGAACCGCAUGGGUUUCUUCCAGGUGCUCCCGUUUCCUCCCAUAUCCCAAAGACACACCAGUAAGUAGGUUAAUUGGUCACUGUAAAUUUGUCCCCAUGAUUAGGCUAAGGUUAAAUAGGUGGGUUGCUGGGCGGUGCAGCUCUUUGGGCUGGAAGGGCCUUUUAUGCACUAUAUCUUUAAAUAAUAGAAAUAAGAAACUGCUAAAUUCAUCCUGCUAGUUACUUGACACAAUGACAAUGAAAUUGAUUAAUCAAUCAAUUUCUGUCAGAUUUACAUGGAUAAUACCAAAAUUGAUCAGGCAUGAAAAUUAUGUAUAAUUUAUGUUAAUUUAAGUUUAUACUGACUUAUGUUUGUAAUGCACUGUGCUGCUCCAGUGCAAUAAAUGAAUUUUCAUAGCACUUGUACCCUUGAAUUCCAGUUAUGAAGAGAUUGGUUAGGCUAGGAUCAUUUCCUUGGAACUGAAGAGGCUUGUGAGAUGUAUGAAAUCAUUUGGACACUGGACAAGGUGAAAGCAAGUACUGAUUUGCCUUAGCAAAGAUAAUCAGGGAACACAGAUUGAAUGUAAUUGUCAGGAAGGUGAUGCUUUGGAAAAUAUUUCUCAUUUCUAAAUGAUGGGAGUCUGGUACUCUGUCUUAAAGGGUUGGGGAGGCAGAAACCCUCAACCCAGUUAAAAGCCAUUGAGAUGAGCACCUCCAGUCACAGAUAUGGGUUAAAAUAGUUUAGAUCAGGGGUUUCCAACCUCUUAAAUACCAUUGAACCCUUCCAUUAACUGAGGGUCUGUGGAUCCCAGGUUGGGAACCCUGAGAUAAGAACAUUCUUUUUAGCCAGCAAAGACAAAAUGAGUUGAUUGACCCCUUUCUGAGCUGUAAAUUUCUCAGAUUCCGUGAUUCUAUGAGCUGACAGUAGAUCCGGAAUGGUUGAGGGAAACUAUCCAGUAAUGCUGAGAUAUGGGGAUAUUUAGUACAUAGGCAAUCAGUUUCUCUCCAGCAUUAUACACUCAACAUUGGUCAUUUCUCAGGAUUUUCCAAGGAAAUACUGGAUAGCAAACAAUGGGGUAACUCUGAUUAUUAUUCUCAAUAUCCUUUGCCAAAAAGACAGAAUCCAAUUGAUGGUCCUCUUUUGGUCGCUUUGAUUUAAGUCACGCAUUGAAUUUCAGACUGAUUGGCAAAGUGAUGGUUUCUUGAUCUACAGGAUCACCUAGGCUGAGAGAAUCUGUGCAAAGAGCAAAGCAGAAUGCCAAUAAACUAUAUUUAUGUGUGCAAAUGAAUCAAUGGAUAGAAAGACCUGCAAGGAACAAAAGGUUAGUGCAAUCAUCUUAAAUAUCAGCACUUCUGUCUGUAAAAAAAAAGUUUGAAUAUGUGUUUAUAUCCAUUAUCUUUUCAGCAGAUUCUUAUAGACAGAUUGAUGAGUUUUAAUCCAUGGGAGUAAGUCAAAAAGCUUACUAUUUUCUAAGUUAAACUGUUUUAUUUUCUUUUUGGGUCAAUUGUCCGUGCCUUGCUGUAGUAUGCAUGCCCCAGGGAAAGCUAGGAGGUUGUACAGUUAUCUCCCUUGGUAUAAUUCUAAACUAUACAACCUACUACCUCAGCCUGGGUGCACACAGUGAGUGGACCCAUCGACUCCUGUGUCAGAGGCUCAAAGACAAGCUGGGUUGAACAAAAAGUAGUUGCGAAACGAGUCCCGGAAUGAGUAGGACGAAGAAAGAAGGGAAAGUUUGUAUUGAUCUGAAGUCUGAACUUAACCUAUAUAUUUUCAAUUUCUAAAGGUGUGAUGGAUGGCACAGUACAUCUGAGAAGGAAAAAUAUUGAGAAAUGCAUAAAUAGGACAUAGUUACAGACACAAAUACACACACACAACUCACCAACACACACAUGAAAACCUGAACACAUACACGCCAAAUGAACACAUACAAUCACACACACACACAAACAUUCACAGACCAGUUAGACCUCAACAACUUAAUAGUUCUAAUUCUAGCUAAAAGAGUCAUUGACAAAAGUAGCUAUCAAUAGUGUGAAGCCUCCACCUUAAUCAGGCAAGAUAUGGACCACCAAAUCACUUUUGCACCAGUCCUACCUCCCCAGCUGCCACACCUAAAGGAAAUCUGAUAGUUCCUCUGAUGUUCAGUGAGAGGUAUUGUGUAAGCAGCUUUCAGAACAUGGUAACAGUAAGGUGUGUCUGCCACAGUGAAUCUGCAAGAUUUGUUUUCAUUAUCCAUUUCUAACAAACAGCUAUCCUAAAUCUUUUCAUUUUUUUUAGCAUUCAUGGUUAAUCUCAGGUAGAAACCAUAUUUCAUACUGAUUGAUAAAGCUCCAUCACAAGAGAAUUAUGAAGUAAUUAACCAUAGGCUUUUUGGGCCACUGUUUCCGGAAGGGUAAAUUAAAGACUGGGUGAAACGGUUAAUCUUGGCAGGGAAUUGCCAUCUGGGAGAUCCACAUCAUCACUGAGUCAUGGAUUGGGACUUCCACAAUCCUUGUCCCACCCUGCUUCCAAAAGCACAUGAUUUAAAGUUGGUCCAAGUUACUUCAGAUUAGAAGAAUUUUGUCUAGAUUACAAAACUGUUUAUGCAAAAUGACCUGUUCAAAAGUUAUGUCAUGGUAGUUAACUGAUUACCAUCAAGAUAUUUGCUUGUGCAACCCAGUUUUUGUACUUGUAGAGCGAAUGAUAAGAACUAAUCCCAGCCUUGGGACGUUCUGCAGGAAAGCACUGCUAUAAUAUCUAACAAGAAUUCGAACUGGGAGAUGACAAAUGUUGAUGGCUGGUUGGUUCUUUACCAUGUAGACACAGACCUAUAGACACGAGCUUGUGCGAUACUUGAAACACAAGUUCGGAUCUACGGGUUAGUGGCAGCUGGCUCUGCAUUGUUUCUGGCUUCUCUUCUUUCUCUUUGCCGACUUCACUCAUCUUCUCUCUCAUAUCACUAAAUCCAUCAAUCUUCCUCCCUUCCUUCUUCCAUUUCCUUUCUCUAACCCAGCUAUUCACCAACCAUCCUAUCUUCCCUCUUCACAAAGAAAGCACAGCUCAGCAUUGUAGAAACCAAAGUGAAAGCUUACUGUUGAGGUAAACAAACCUUAAUUUACAGUUUCCUUUUCACUGGUUGCAAGUUUAAAUUUAUGUACUAUAAAUCCCUGUAUCUCUCCAAUCAUAGCAGAUGAAAUGAGGACCAAAAAAAAGGCCUUAAAUAGUAACUA